CCUACGGGGGGCAGCAAUUAGGAAUCUUGCGCAAUGGGGGAAACCCUGACGCAGCGACGCCGCGUGCAGGACGAAGGCCUUCGGGUUGUAAAGCUCUGUCAGAGGGGAAGAAAUGCAGGUGGUGAACAACCAUUCUGUUUGACGGUACCCUCAAAGGAAGCACCGGCUAACUCCGUGCCAGCAGCCGCGGUAAUACGGAGGGCGCGAGCGUUGUUCGGAAUUAUUGGGCGUAAAGCGCGUGUAGGCGGUUUGUUAAGUCUGAUGUGAAAGCCCCGGGCUCAACCUGGGAAGUGCAUUGGAUACUGGCAGACUUGAGUACGGGAGAGGAGAGUGGAAUUCCCAGUGUAGGAGUGAGAUCCGUAGAUAUUGGGAGGAACAC
rnacentral:rRNA from 1 species